AUUGAACGCUGGCGGCAGGCCUAACACAUGCAAGUCGAACGGAGUGGCGGACGGGUGAGUAAUGUCUGGGAAACUGCCUGAUGGAGGGGGAUAACUACUGGAAACGGGCGCUAAUACCGCAUACUAUCAGAUGAGCCUAGGUCGGAUUAGCUAGUUGGUGGGGUAAAGGCCUACCAAGGCGACGAUCCGUAACUGGUCUGAGAGGAUGAUCAGGCACACUGGAACUGAGAAACGGUCCAGACUCCUACGGGAGGCAGCAGUGGGGAAUAUUGGACAAUGGGCGAAAGCCUGAUCCAGCCAUGCCGCGUGUGUGAAGAAGGUCUUCGGAUUGUAAAGCACUUUUAGUUGGGAGGCGUUACCCGCAGAAGAAGCACCGACUAACUCCGUGCCAGCAGCCGCGGUAAUUC
rnacentral:rRNA from 1 species